rnacentral:lncRNA from 1 species
CGUUGAAUGGACUGUGGGGAAAGGGAUGGGGGCUCCCUAACGUGGAUUACUUGGCGCAUAUCAGCUGGGCUCAGAAGACCCAGGACUCCUCUUCAUUAGUGGAUUGAUUCCUUCUACCUAACAAUCGGUCGCUAAGCUGGAGGUGAAAUCAGAGGUUCCCUGCUGACUUGAUGAGAGCUUCGCCCCAAGAAAGAAGGCCAAGGACAGAGUUCAUAGGCCUCGGGAGGAUGACCAAGUGCUGGCUUCCUGGCCCACACCACCCUCCRCGAAGCCUCCCAGAUCCAGCGAAGGCCCCCAGCACUCCUUGAAGGACUUGGCUGAGGUCGGAGAGUCAAGAGCCUGGGAUUUGAUUAAGAAUUCUUAUAUUGGAGAAUAAAGAAACUUCUGGACUCRUGGAGACA